rnacentral:misc_RNA from 1 species
GAGGGAGAAAAACUUUUGACAAAAUUAUUUAUGUUUAAUUGAAUCAGAAAAUAAUAUUAAUAAAAAUGGAAGCUUUUAUUUAUCUAUGAUGGGUAAUCUGUAAUCCCAGUAUCCAAACCAGCACAUCAAGGCAUGAACCAAAAUAAAAACUCUCUCCACCCCACCAUAUACACGUGCAUCUAUCUUCCUUAGAUCCAAUCUUACACAAAACCCACCAAAAUCUACAAAACCUAUCAGGCCCAAAAAAAUAAGAUACAGAUUACAGAAACCAUGGAAUUUCGUCUAUAACCCCCAUUUGCUCUCGCCUUCCCCCUCUUCUCAUUCCACUUUCUUUAACAGCGCCAUUCUUUUGAAUACAACCAACAAGUCUAGCAAAUAAUUCUCUGGUUCUAGGUAAAACCAGAAGCAGAAUUCAGAGAACCAGAAAGGGUCUCUCACACAAUGCUUUGUUUGGUCUCGGAG